AAUCAGGUAGGGCUACCCGCUGAACUUAAGCAUAUCAAUAAGCGGAGGAAAGGAAACUAACAAGGAUUCCCUUAGUAACGGCGAGUGAACCGGGAAGAGCUCAAAUUUGUAAUCUGGCGUGCUCUGUGCGUCCGAGUUGUAAUCUAUAGAAGUGUUUUCCGUGCCGGAUCGUGUCCAAGUUCCUUGGAAUAGGAUAUCAUAGAGGGUGACAAUCCCGUCCUUGACACAACUCCCGGUGCUCUGUGAUACACUUUCUACGAGUCGAGUUGUUUGGGAAUGCAGCUCAAAAUGGGUGGUGAGUUCCAUCUAAAGCUAAAUAUUGGCGAGAGACCGAUAGCGAACAAGUACCGUGAGGGAAAGAUGAAAAGCACUUUGGAAAGAGAGUUAAACAGUACGUGAAAUUGUUGAAAGGGAAACGAUUGAAGUCAGUCG
rnacentral:rRNA from 1 species